rnacentral:lncRNA from 10 species
UCUGAGUAGUAUUAGUAGUAGCUUCUUUCAAAGCCCUCUGAAUUUCACUGGCCACUGAUAUGGCAAUAUGCUCUGUGACUGCAUAUUUGUCAACCCACAGCUGUUACCUUGUGAUGAAAUUCCAUAUAGAUUCUUUUUUGCUGGCACUCUGUAUUAAUUUGGGAUCUUUAAGGUGGUGAGUACCUUUUUAAUGACUAAGAAAAACACAAGUUGAAAAUUAAAAUGUUUUUACUUACAGGCCCUGGAGGUACACACCAUGCCAUAAUGGAGGUGGGUCAGCACCAGGAAAGAGAGGGAUAACAAUCUGUGAGCCAAUGCUUUUAUUGAGUCUGGGGCAUUAUCCAAACGGGGUUCCUGCAGCAAGUUUUAAUGGGUGGGUUUGAAGCAAGGAGGCACAAGUUCCAGAAGGUCAUGCUGUGACUGAAAGGUGGUUACUGUGAAAAUACCUACACAGUCCAUGAGGGGGUCAGUGAGGCUGCUCAAGUAUGUUUUAUCUAGCUGUCCCACAGACAGGUGGUCAUGAAGAGGAAGUUGUAUAAGGCAGUCGUGUAAUACCACAAUGAGGAACUGGCAGGGUUUGAGGGGGAGUGAGCUGAAGAGUUGAAAACUGUCUCAUAGGUGACUGUGACCCACUUCUGGUAUGAGAAAGUCCAACUUAUACUCACAGUGGAUGCCAAGGCAACACCAUAAUGAUAUGAAUGCAUUACAGACCCCUUUGUUCAAUAGAUGCUCCUUUUGGGCAGUGUCUUUUUAUUAUAUGCCAAUUCUGUCUUCCUUUGUGAUAUGCACUUAGCCUGAGAGAACCAAGGUACUUUUUUGUCACCAACACCAGGAGUGCAGCUUUCUCUCGUUACUGUUCUGUCUUUCUUGGCAGGCUUCCCAAGGUUGCUUCUUGUCAGAAUGUUCUAGAUAAAAGUUGUUACAGGUAACUAUGUCCCACCUCCAACUUUUAUAUGUAAUUUUCUCUCAAAGCGCUCUUGACUUCUGCUCUGGUGGCUGCUGUGGCCAAGCUGAAGCUUCAGCAGCUCCGUUAAUAUUUUUUUCAGGUUGUACGAUAUGCGCUUCCCCUUUAGCAAGCAUCCACAGUCUCGGGGAGGGCUCUCUUGAUGCCUCCAUCACUUGCCUUGAGGUGUAGCAAAAGAGGGAUAAUCCCCAUCAUUGCCCCACUCCGAUGUUUCUAUCUUCGGUUUUGAUCUGGACCCAGGAGAGAACCCAAUAUGAAACAACUCUGUUGUCUGCAGUCUUUACUCUGGCUUUUGGUCUCAGUCAAGAAGGAAUUCAGGACACAGAACACAUGAGGGGUGGGUUUUGGAGUGGAAAGUUUAAUAGAAAAAGAAGAAAAGAGAGAGAAAAAGCUUCCUCAUGUUGAGAAAGCCCAAAAGAGGGCCUCCAAGCAGAAAAAAAGGACCAGCUGACAUAAAUGCGCCAAGUUUUAUAGUCCAAUUU